rnacentral:rRNA from 1 species
GACGAACGCUGGCGGCGUGCUUAACACAUGCAAGUCGAACGGAAAGGCCCAGCUUGCUGGGUGCUCGAGUGGCGAACGGGUGAGUAACACGUGGGUGAUCUGCCCCUAACUUCGGGAUAAGCUUGGGAAACUGGGUCUAAUACCGGAUAGGACAAUCGUUUAGUGUCGGUUGUGGAAAGUUUUUUCGGUUAGGGAUGAGCCCGCGGCCUAUCAGCUUGUUGGUGGGGUAAUGGCCUACCAAGGCGUCGACGGGUAGCCGGCCUGAGAGGGUGGACGGCCACAUUGGGACUGAGAUACGGCCCAGACUCCUACGGGAGGCAGCAGCGGGGAAUAUUGCACAAUGGGCGCAAGCCUGAUGCAGCGACGCCGCGUGGGGGAUGACGGCCUUCGGGUUGUAAACCUCUUUCGACAGGGACGAAGCUUUGGUGACGGUACCUGUAUAAGAAGCACCGGCUAACUACGUG